rnacentral:SRP_RNA from 1 species
ACGACGGUCUUUUCAUCAGCAGCAUUGCUUGCUACCAGGAGCUUUGGG